rnacentral:rRNA from 1 species
AGCGAACGCUGGCGGCAGGCCUAACACAUGCAAGUCGAACGGACCCUUCGGGGUUAGUGGCGGACGGGUGAGUAACACGUGGGAACGUGCCUUUAGGUUCGGAAUAGCUCCUGGAAACGGGUGGUAAUGCCGAAUGUGCCCUUCGGGGGAAAGAUUUAUCGCCUUUAGAGCGGCCCGCGUCCGAUUAGCUAGUUGGUGAGGUAAUGGCUCACCAAGGCGACGAUCAGUAGCUGGUCUGAGAGGAUGACCAGCCACAUUGGGACUGAGACACGGCCCAAACUCCUACGGGAGGCAGCAGUGGGGAAUCUUGCGCAAUGGGCGAAAGCCUGACGCAGCCAUGCCGCGUGGAUGAUGAAGGUCUUAGGAUUGUAAAAUCCUUUCACCGGUGAAGAUAAUGACUGUAGCCGGAGAAGAAGCCCCGGCUAACUUCGUGCCAGCAGCCGCGGUAA